UACGUAGGGUGCGAGCGUUAAUCGGAAUUACUGGGCGUAAAGCGUGCGCAGGCGGUUCUCCAAGUCCGUUGUGAAAGCCCCGGGCUCAACCUGGGAAUGGCAGUGGAAACUAGGGGACUUGAAUCUGGCAGAGGGGGGUGGAAUUCCACGUGUAGCAGUGAAAUGCGUAGAGAUGUGGGGGAACACCGAUGGCGAAGGCAGCCCCCUGGGCUGAGAUUGACGCUCAGGCACGAAAGCGUGGGGAGCAAACAGG
rnacentral:rRNA from 1 species